UGUAUUUAAAAUUUCUCGUUUUAAAAUCCUAUGGCUCAAAAUAUAAAAACGUGUGUAAAAUAUGAUGUCCCUCGAAUCAGACCCAUAAAUAUUACUAGGCAGAGUUGAAACGUUAAAUUUUCAUUUGAAGCAGUGGCAAAGCACACCAUCUCUUCCUUCUUCAUUGCCCUCCUUCUGGCAGCUGCAUGUCCAUAUUCAAUUCAUCACACCAUUGUUUUUUAUUCUUUAUCAAACUCUAUUUCUCGUUGCAAGAUAGAAAACCAAAAGGGCUAAACGGAGUUGGAUUGAUGUAAGCUGUCUGAAGUAGCUAGCUAGGAGGGGAUAGGAAAUUGGGGCAGAAGAGUUGAGCCACAAGCAUUUCUGUCAUUGUUGACAGCGCUGGCUAAAAUUCAUACCGAAACAAAGAAUUAAGCAUUUACUAUUCUAUUAAUUAGUUUGAGAUCAGUAAGGAAAAUCAGUAAGAACAUACUAUGGAACUUCAGAAAUGUAAGAGCAUCUCCAACAGGUUUCCUAAAAUUUCUCUAAAAUGGGAAAGCAAAAACCAAAAUCCCUAAAAGUUUUAUGCUCCAACUCCAACAGUUUCUCCAUUUUGAAGAUUUUAGCAAUAUUUAUUAAAACAAUAAAAAAU
rnacentral:lncRNA from 1 species